ACCACAGCAUCUGACUUGCUUAACUGCAGAAAACAACAUGGAAGAAAGGUUGGACAAUUGUGCUUGUGUGGAAAAGACCAUGAUAGAGCAGCAUAAAUACAAGGAAGAAUAAUCAGGUUCAAACUACAACUUGUUAAUUUGACACAAAUAACUUAGAAAUUGAAUAAGUAAAUUACCUAAGCAGAAAUUUAUAAAUAUAUAGAGAAUCCAGAAGUGCCUACAGUGCAUCUUGACCAAAAAUACAAAUUUUCUCACCAGUACACAUGCGUUUUUUCAAGGUAAACAUAAAGACUAUUCAUCAUAGCAACAAAGCUGCCGAGCACUUUAGAGUUACAGAUGGCCACUCUGAAAUAUGAAAACAAAUAAUGCUCUUAUAAUUCCAUCAUUUCAUUUCAAAUUCGAGAUCCCAUUAACUAACAGUAUCAAAGUUACUUGGAUGUGAAUAACAACAGGGAGGACAACACUAGUCUUCCCUUUCCGGCUUUCCCAUCAUU
rnacentral:misc_RNA from 1 species